GCUGCAGUUGCUCUCACUGUGCUGCAGACACUGUACCAAAACAAACCAAGGUUUUGCUGACACUCUUUGCUCUCCAAGUGGAUUCUCAUUUUCAGAAAGGAUCAAUACAUCUUCCACUACAAAAAGUCAACAGGACUUCAUGGGUGAGGAACUUCCUGAGACCUCUUCCUGAAGAAAGUUUUGGCUGCAGAUGGAUAAUUAGGACUUUUUGAUGAUGGAAAUUUGAGGCACCUGAAGUCCACCUGAAUCUUGGCCCAAGGAGCACAGAAGGACAUUGUCAGGCACAGGUCCAGUGACAGGACAAAAAACCUGGCUGGGGCUCAAAGGAAACAAAUGUCUCUCAUAUGUCUCAAGGCUAGGAAUU
rnacentral:lncRNA from 1 species